UACGUAGGGUGCGAGCGUUAAUCGGAAUUACUGGGCGUAAAGCGUGCGUAGGCGGUUUGUUAAGUCCGUUGUGAAAGCCCUGGGCUCAACCUGGGAAUUGCAGUGGAUACUGGCGAGCUAGAGUGCGGUAGAGGAUGGUGGAAUUCCCGGUGUAGCGGUGAAAUGCGUAGAGAUCGGGAGAAACACCCGUGGCGAAGGCGGCCAUCUGGACCAGCACUGACGCUGAGGCACGAAAGCGUGGGGAGCAAACAGG
rnacentral:rRNA from 1 species